CAAAGGUAGCGAAAUCAUUUGUCUACUAAAUAUAGACCAGUAUGAAAGGCCACAUGAGGGUUUAACUGUCUCCUGAGACUAAUUUAUAAAACUGAUCUUCUAGUUCAAAAGCUGGAAUUCUAAUAUAAGACGAGAAGACCCUGUGAAGCUUAAAAAACCCAUUAAAACAGCUAAUGGGUACUUUUAGUUGGGGCAACUUUGGAAAAAAGACCAACUUCCAAAGACUAACAAGUCAAUAACGACCCAGUAUAACUGAAAAAUGGACCAAGUUACUCCAGGGAUAACAGCGCAAUCUUCUUCAAGAGCUCCUAUCUAAAAGAAGGUUUACGACCUCGAUGUUGGAUCAGGACACCCAGACGGUGCAGUAGCUGUUAAAGGUUCGUUUGUUCAACGAUUAAAGU
rnacentral:rRNA from 1 species